rnacentral:lncRNA from 1 species
ACAAACAAAACAGAGAGGAAGAUGAUUCGUGAGCCCCCUCCUUAUCAAGGGGUACGAUAUUAAGAUCCAAAGUGGGUCUGGGUGCUGCCUUGAGCAUGCGAAAUUGGCUUUUUAGAUAAGCUCAGUAUGUAUGGUUUGACACUUCAUAUCUCCUGCCUCGCUUGGCAGCCUUGACAAAGUUAAGCCUAGAAUUAGUAGAUAUGCCCCA